GACAGAGGAUGCAAGCGUUAUCCGGAAUGAUUGGGCGUAAAGCGUCUGUAGGUGGCUUUUAAGUCCGCCGUCAAAUCCCAGGGCUCAACCCUGGACAGGCGGUGGAAACUACCAAGCUGGAGUACGGUAGGGCAGAGGGAAUUCCGGUGGAGCGGUGAAAUGCGUAGAGAUCGGAAGAACACCGACGGCGAAGCACUCUGCUGGCCGACACUGACACUGAGAGACGAAGCUAGGGAGCGAAUGG
rnacentral:rRNA from 1 species